rnacentral:rRNA from 1 species
UACGUAGGGUGCGAGCGUUGUCCGGAAUUACUGGGCGUAAAGAGCUCGUAGGUGGUUUGUCGCGUUGUUCGUGAAAACUCACAGCUCAACUGUGGGCGUGCGGGCGAUACGGGCAGACUGGAGUACUGCAGGGGAGACUGGAAUUCCUGGUGUAGCGGUGAAAUGCGCAGAUAUCAGGAGGAACACCCGGUGGCGAAGGCGGGUCUCUGGGCCGAUACUGACGCUGAGGAGCGAAAGCGUGGGGAGCAAACAGG